rnacentral:guide_RNA from 1 species
AGCCUCGUAUAUGAGGUUUUAUAUGGCAGUAAU